AAAACACUAGCGAACGCUGGCGGCAGGCUUAACACAUGCAAGUCGAACGGGCGUAGCAAUACGUCAGUGGCAGACGGGUGAGUAACGCGUGGGAACGUACCUUUUGGUUCGGAACAACACAGGGAAACUUGUGCUAAUACCGAAUAAGCCCUUACGGGGAAAGAUUUAUCGCCGAAAGAUCGGCCCGCGUCUGAUUAGCUUGUUGGUGAGGUAACGGCUCACCAAGGCGACGAUCAGUAGCUGGUCUGAGAGGAUGAUCAGCCACAUUGGGACUGAGACACGGCCCAA
rnacentral:rRNA from 1 species